AUGUUAACUUAAAAUUUCGUAUUUCGCAAAAAUGCUUCCGUCAAAAUUGUUUUUCUUCUUUCCUAGUCAAUAUAAGGGGAAAAAAUAGAGGAAGAUUUUUGAAAUUUUAAUACCGAAUAAUUUACGUGAUCGAAUCGUAUUCGUUGACUACAUUUAAGUACGUCAGUUACGCUUAUAGAAGAUGCAAUUUUUAACACCUUCAAAGAACGUAAUACAUUCCCGGACAAAAUUAUAGCAUAUGUGUGUUAUCUUCUGAGAGGGCAACAAAAUAGGCUACUAUACGUGUUGCCUCAAACUCGAUGUUAACAUUUGGCAAAAUUGCUCACGUACCAGGUAUCUUUGCAAACGUUCAAAGUGUUCGCUGUGUUCUUCAGAAGUUAUAGCUAUGCUGCCGUUCAUCAAGCUAAAGUUAUAGAAACAUUUUCUACAAGAAAAUAUGACACGACCUUCGCCAUCAUGGUUUGCACGCUCCUUUGUUUAUAUACAUAUAUAAUUGAAAAUUAUUGAAGAAAACUCAUACGUCCUGUAUGAAAGAAUGGAAGUCAAUACGAUAAUAUUUUACAAUUAAAAGAAUCUACUAAAGUAAAAUGGGAUAAUUUAUUCCAGAAUACCAUCCAAAAACUAUAUAAAUUCUUAUCAUGGUUGGUCAAAUUUGUAGAGAACAAAAGCGUUCAUACACAUUAUUAAUUUUAUAUUAAUUAUGAUGUCAAUUUUCUUGUUAGGCUAAAUAUACGUAUAGAUUUUGUUAAUUUGCUAUCAUUUUGCCCCGCAAAUUUAUGUGUUUUCUCUACAAAUAUUGAAUGUUGGUAAUAACAACUUUAUUUAAUAACAGAUUCCUUUUUUUAUUAUGUACUAUAUUUCUACUUUGGUGCUGUGAUACAUAUGAGUCUCUGAUACAUAUGGAUAUCCGCUACAUUUAAAAAAGUCUUAAAUUGUCUUCGAGAAAUUAAGGAUAGCACGCAUGUGUUAUCAUUUUCUCCGGAACUGUAUGUAAUAUCUUUUUAAAGAAUUUUGCGCUAAAUUUAAUUUCGGUAAUGUAAUAGAAAGAAAUGGUAGAAGCAGUUCGUAUAGCAUCUCUUUAUCUUUCCAUCGAUCGUUACCUGUACAGUGGCUAUAAAUUACAACGACCCUUUUUUAAGCGUACAAUAAAAUUUUCCACUUGUUUUCGCAACGAAAUUAAUUUACAAUAUCUUCCUUGGCAGUCCGCCAUUUAAUAAAUCAAUCACAAUGUACGUCUGUAAAAUAUAUUUUAUUUUCGCUU